rnacentral:rRNA from 1 species
AGAAUCAACACUGGCGGCGUGCCUAACACAUGCAAGUCGAACGGGAAAGUGGAGCAAUCCAUGAGUAUAGUGGCGACCGGGUGAGUAACACGUGACUAACCUACCUUCAAGUGGGGGAUAACCUCGGGAAACCGGGGCUAAUACCGCAUAACAUCUUUGUGCUGAGAAAGCAGAGAUCAAAGGAGCAAUUCGCUGGAAGAGGGGGUCGCGGCUGAUUAGCUAGUUGGUGGGUAAUGGCCCACCAAGGCUUUGAUCGGUA